rnacentral:lncRNA from 1 species
UAAUCAUGUGAUUGGACUCGACUGUGAAUGACAAUUUGAUUAGGAUUGGGCUGAGGGGCCUUGACCCAGAGGAAGAAUAAAGGCCUAACGCUGGGCGCAGCUGUUCCUGUGAAGUUCCGAGCUUCGUGGUUCUCUCCGGGAAGGUGUCUUAUCGCUGCUGGGCGGUGUCCUCACCUUGGAUUGCAAGGCCGGUCCGCCUGCACCUCCUCUCUGGGGUAGGUGGAGCUGGUGGCCUGGGCAAGGUCCUGCGAUUGUGAUCAUCAUUGUGAAAGUGUUUACUCGUGUCUCAGAUGGCAAGUGUGCCGGUUUUGUCUGUUCUUAGACAAUCUGCUCGUGAAAAAGGGACCGGAGGAUCUUACCCAUUCUCUAGCGACCGUCCCCGGACAACCGCGAGCUACCGGCAAGGUCCCCAGACAUCGCUCCCUGCCAAAGCAACAGCCAGAGCCCUAAAGGUUUCCAUCUCCCUCAGAACAUCGUUUUCCCCCUGCCAGACCUUUGGCCCCUUUGGUAGGGUGGCCUACAUCCCAGUUUGCUUGGGCCACCCCUGUUUCUCCCUACUUUCAGGUGUAAUUAUAAUAGAGUCCUAAAAAAAAAUAAGAUAAAAUAAAUAAAGAUAAAGUGUUAAUUAAAAAAAAAAAAAAAAAAAGACUCCUUAUUGGCUCCAAAGUGUCUGGCUUUGUGUGAUCAAUUACGGGUC